rnacentral:rRNA from 1 species
CAACGCGAGUGGAGAUGAAGCCACCGCCCUUGUGAGGGAGGCUGAGCGUUUGGCCGAACAACGCGCAGCGCUUCUGCGCAGUUCGAGGGAUUCGC